rnacentral:rRNA from 1 species
GACGAACGCUGGCGGCGUGCCUAAUACAUGCAAGUCGAACGCUGAAGGAGGAGCUUGCUUCUCUGGAUGAGUUGCGAACGGGUGAGUAACGCGUAGGUAACCUGCCUGGUAGCGGGGGAUAACUAUUGGAAACGAUAGCUAAUACCGCAUAAUAGUAGAUGUUGCAUGACAUUUGCUUAAAAGGUGCAAUUGCAUCACUACCAGAUGGACCUGCGUUGUAUUAGCUAGUUGGUGGGGUAACGGCUCACCAAAGCGACGAUACAUAGCCGACCUGAGAGGGUGAUCGGCCACACUGGGACUGAGACACGGCCCAGACUCCUACGGGAGGCAGCAGUAGGGAAUCUUCGGCAAUGGACGGAAGUCUGACCGAGCAACGCCGCGUGAGUGAAGAAGGUUUUCGGAUCGUAAAGCUCUGUUGUAAGAGAAGAACGAGUGUGAGAGUGGAAAGUUCACACUGUGACGGUAGCUUACCAGAAAGGGACGGCUAACUACGUG